rnacentral:tRNA from 1 species
UGCAGGUUGGAGAAGUGGCUAUCUCGACUGGCUCAUAACCAGUAUGUCGCCGGUUCGAGUCCGGCACCUGCAACCA